rnacentral:rRNA from 1 species
UACAGAGGGUGCGAGCGUUAAUCGGAAUUACUGGGCGUAAAGGGCGCGUAGGCGGUUUAUCGAGUGUGAUGUGAAAGCCCUGGGCUUAACCUAGGACGUGCAUCGCAGACAGAUAGACUAGAGUACAGUAGAGGGCAGUGGAAUUUCCGGUGUAGCGGUGAAAUGCGUAGAGAUCGGGAGGAACACCAGCGGCGAAGGCGGCGAUCUGGGGCGAUACUGACGCUGAGGUGCGAAAGCGUGGGGAGCAAACAGG